UUAUCUAAAAAAUAAAAACAGUAAAGAUAUUAUUUUUAAUUUUCGUUUUUUUAAUAAAGAUAGAAAAAUAAAAAUAGAAAGAUAAAAACAGAAAAAUAAAAACGGAAAGAUAAAAACAGAAAGAUACUCCCCUUGCUUGAUAUUCUUUUCUUUUUCUUCUUCUUGCUGAAUUUUUUCAAAAGGUUGAGAACAUCAAUCACCUGUUUCCAAGUCUCAAUCAUAGGAACUUUAAUCUCCAAUUUCUUGAAGAUUUUAAUAAAGCACUUAAACUUCUUUUCUUUCCUAUGAUAUUUCUUUUGAUGAGGAAGAUGUUUUGCAUAUGAUAUUUUCUUCUUUCCCCUCUUCCUCUUUUUCUUAAUCUCCUCCAUCAACUUUCUCUUUUUUUUCUUUUCUUAUUUUCUUCUUUAUUUUUGCAUAUUUUUUAUUUUUUUCUUUUUUCUCAACCACUACUUUUUCCUUAUUAUCAUCUUUGUCCCCCUCACUCAACUUUUCUGUUUUUUCUUCCUUUAUCUUUUCCUCCUCUAUCUUCUCUCCCUUUCUCUCCAUUUUUUCCUCCUCUGUUUUCUCCUCAUCUAUCUCUGUCUUUUCUUCAUAUAUCUUCUCCUUAGCAACAACCUUUUUCUGUUUCUAUCUCUUCUAUCUUUUUCACCUCUCUCUCUAUCUUCUCCUCAUCAACAACAUCAUCAAUUGAUGUCUGCAAAUUCCUGAAGGUGACUUCAUAGCUCUUGGAAUCAUACUUCUCAUAAAAUUUGUCAAACUUUUCUUUAGAGCUUUUGAGUUGUUCCGCCACAUCAGCUACCUGUUGGCCUAGUUGUUGUUCAUACUCCCACAUUUCUAUUGGUGAAAAGUAUUAUUGUUGCCUCUCUUCCAUGCUUCCAUGAGAAGAAAAUCUUGUAUACAUGUCCUGCGGAAAAAAUUCUUCAUUCUUUGUAUUCUCCUCUAUACCUUUGACAUGGUAUACUUCCAAAU
rnacentral:lncRNA from 1 species